GCCUUGGUGGUGUAAUGGUCAAGUACGCUCGGCGUGUAUUCGAGAGGUCCGCGGUUCGAGUCCCGGCGAAGGCU
rnacentral:tRNA from 1 species